rnacentral:rRNA from 1 species
CAGUAGCCGCGGGAAUACAGAGGAUGGAAGCGUUAUCCGAAAUGAUUGGGCGUAAAGCGUCUGUAGGUGGCUUUUCAAGUCCGCCGUCAAAUCCCAGGGCUCAACCCUGGACAGGCGGUGGAAACUACCAAGCUGGAGUACGGUAGGGGCAGAGGGAAUUUCCAGUGGAGCGGUGAAAUGCGUUGAGAUCGGAAAGAACACCAACGGUGAAAGCACUCUGCUGGGCCGACACUGACACUGAGAGACGAAAGCUAGGGAAGCAAAUGGGAUUAGAUACCCGCGUAGUCCCUGUCUCUUAUAC